rnacentral:rRNA from 1 species
UACGUAGGUGACAAGCGUUGUCCGGAUUUACUGGGCGUAAAGAGCGCGCAGGCGGUCGAUCAAGUCGAGUGUGAAAGCCCCCGGCUCAACUGGGGAGGGUCAUUCGAUACUGAUCGACUCGAAGGCAGGAGAGGGUAGUGGAAUUCCCGGUGUAGUGGUGAAAUGCGUAGAUAUCGGGAGGAACACCAGUGGCGAAGGCGACUACCUGGCCUGUUCUGACACUCAUACACGAAAGCGUGGGGAUCAAACAGG